AGUGAACGCUGGCGGUAGGCCUAACACAUGCAAGUCGAACGGCAGCACAGUAAGAGCUUGCUCUUACGGGUGGCGAGUGGCGGACGGGUGAGGAAUACAUCGGAAUCUACUUUUUCGUGGGGGAUAACGUAGGGAAACUUACGCUAAUACCGCAUACGACCUACGGGUGAAAGCAGGGGAUCUUCGGACCUUGCGCGAUUGAAUGAGCCGAUGUCGGAUUAGCUAGUUGGCGGGGGAAAGGCCCACCAAGGCGACGAUCCGUAGCUGGUGUGAGAGGAUGAUCGGCCACACUGGAACUGAGACACGGUCCAGACUCCUACGGUAGGCAGCAGUGGGGAAUAUUGGACAAUAGGCGCAAGCCUGAUCCAGCCAUACCGCGUGGGUGAAGAAGGCCUUCGGGUUGUAAAGCCCUUUUGUUGGGAAAGAAAAGCAGCAGGUUAAUACCCCGCUGUUCUGACGGUACCCAAAGAAUAAGCACCGGCUAACUUCGUG
rnacentral:rRNA from 1 species